CGAUUCGCCCUUAGAGUUUGAUCUUGGCUCAGGACGAACGCUGGCGGCGUGCCUAAUACAUGCAAGUCGAGCGCGGGAAGCAAACUGAAGCCUUCGGGCGGACGUUUGUGGAACGAGCGGCGGAUGGGUGAGUAACACGUGGGCAACCUGCCUGUAAGAUUGGGAUAACUUGCGGAAACGUGAGCUAAUACCAAAUAAAGCUUCAUAUCACCUGAUGUGAAGGUGAAAGAUGGCUCCGGCUAUCACUUACAGAUGGGCCCGUGGCGCAUUAGCUAGUUGGUGGGAUAAAAGCUUACCAAGGCAACGAUGCGUAGCCGACCUGAGAGGGUGAUAGGCCACACUGGGGCUGAGACACGGCCCAGACUCCUACGGGAGGCAGCAGUAGGGAAUCUUCCGCAAUGGACGCAAGUCUGACGGAGCAACGCCGCGUGAGUGAUGAAGGUUUUCGGAUCGUAAAACUCUGUUGUUAGGGAAGAACAAGUACCGUUCGAAUAGGUCGGUACCUUGACGGUACCUAACCAGAAAGCCCCGGCUAACUACGUGCCAGCAGCCGCGGUAAUACGUAGGGGGCAAGCGUUGUCCGGAAUUAUUGGGCGUAAAGCGCGCGCAGGCGGUCCUUUAAGUCUGAUGUGAAAGCCCACGGCUUAACCGUGGCGUGUCAUUGGAAACUGAGGGACUUGAGUACAGAAGAGGAGAGUGGAAUUCCACGUGGAGCGGUGAAAUGCGUAGAUAUGUGGAGGAACACCAGUGGCGAAGGCGACUCUCUGGUCUGUAACUGACGCUGAGGUGCGAAAGCAUGGGUAGCGAACAGGAUUAGAUACCCUGGUAGUCC
rnacentral:rRNA from 1 species